GAAUAUCCAAGGGGGAGUGUUGUAAAUGAUAAUGACUAUUCAUGCAAUAGCUCAUGUUUCGCUUCAUUCGCAUGCUUCGUCUAUUCCAGUGCUCAAUGGACUGAAUUUCUCAGAAUGGUGUGAAUAAAUUCAGUUUCACUUAGGUGUUCUGGAUCUGGAUUCGGCACUCCAAACAGAGAAACGUGCUGCUCUAACUAAUUAAAACACUGAUGAUGAAGAAAAGGCUUUCCAUAAGGCUUGGGAAAAGUCGAAUAGACUGAGCAUUAUGCUGAUGCGAAUGACUAUAGCAAACAACAUAAAGACUUCACUUCCAAAAGCUGAAAUUGCUAAGGAAUUCUUGAAGAACAUUGAGGAUUGUUUCAAGAGUGCUGACAAGUCUCUUGCAGGGACAUUAAUGGCUGAACUUACCACCAAGAAAUUUGAUGGUAGGAGAAGCAUGCAUGAGCAUGUUCUUGAAAUGACUAAUCUGGUAGCAAAGUUGAAAGUCUUGGGAAUGAAUGUGGAUGAGUUCUUUCUUGUUCAAUUUAUUUUGAACUCCUUGCCUCCUCAGUAUGAAGCAUUUCAGAUUAACUAUAACACUAUUAAGGAUAAGUGGAAUGUUAAUGAAUUGUCCAGUAUGCUUGUUCAAGAGGAAGGAAGGCUUAAGCAACAAGAAAAAAUUCCAUUUAUCUUGUAGGUCAGGGAGCUAAAAGAAAAUUUGGAAGAAAACCUGGAAAGGGUGCUAAGAAAUGACCACCAAAGAACAAUGGACCUGCUGAUGCUGCUCAGGCUCCUAAUAAGGGACUGAAGGACAAAUGUCAUUUCUGUAGAAAGGAUGGACAUUAUCAGUAUGAUUGCCCAAAACGUAAGGCAUGGUUCGAAAAGAAAGGGAUUCCUUACAAUCCAAAGCCUAAAUCCAAAUGAAAAUUUUAUCUAUAUGGGAAUCGGGUGAGAACACCAGUUGAAGCCAUUGGAACUUUUCGUUUGAUUUUAGAUACCGGCCAUUAUUUAGAUUUGUUUCAAAAUCUUUAUGUUCCACUUGUUCUCGGAAUUUAAAGUUCUGUUU